GAGUCAACGGCCUUUUCUACUUUCAUGCAGGUACCCACUCUAACCAUAACAUUAGAUAAUCCAGGUUACAGAGACAGUGUAGAGUUAGAUAGGGACCCACUCUAACCAUAACAUUAGAUAAUCCAAGUUGUAAACAUAAUUUACGGCAGUUCCUUGACAGCGAGACAGCUAGUGGUCUAACAGAGAGACAUACAGCUAGUGGUCUAACAGAGACAGACAGCUAGUGGUCUAACAGAGAGACAUACAGCAGUGGUCUAGCUAGUGGUCUAACAGAGAGACAGACAGCUAGUGGUCUAACAGAGAGACAGACAGCUAGUGGUCUAACAGAGAGACAGACAGCUAGUGGUCUAACAGAGAGACAGACAGCUAGUGGUCUAGCUAGUGGUCUAACAGAGGCAGACAGCUAAAUGGC
rnacentral:lncRNA from 1 species